rnacentral:rRNA from 1 species
GAUGAACGCUGGCGGCGUGCCUAAUACAUGCAAGUCGAGCGAACGGACGAGAAGCUUGCUUCUCUGAUGUUAGCGGCGGACGGGUGAGUAACACGUGGAUAACCUACCUAUAAGACUGGGAUAACUUCGGGAAACCGGAGCUAAUACCGGAUAAUAUUUUGAACCGCAUGGUUCAAAAGUGAAAGACGGUCUUGCUGUCACUUAUAGAUGGAUCCGCGCUGCAUUAGCUAGUUGGUAAGGUAACGGCUUACCAAGGCAACGAUGCAUAGCCGACCUGAGAGGGUGAUCGGCCACACUGGAACUGAGACACGGUCCAGACUCCUACGGGAGGCAGCAGUAGGGAAUCUUCCGCAAUGGGCGAAAGCCUGACGGAGCAACGCCGCGUGAGUGAUGAAGGUCUUCGGAUCGUAAAACUCUGUUAUUAGGGAAGAACAUAUGUGUAAGUAACUGUGCACAUCUUGACGGUACCUAAUCAGAAAGCCACGGCUAACUACGUGCCAGCAGCCGCGGUAAUACGUAGGUGGCAAGCGUUAUCCGGAAUUAUUGGGCGUAAAGCGCGCGUAGGCGGUUUUUUAAGUCUGAUGUGAAAGCCCACGGCUCAACCGUGGAGGGUCAUUGGAAACUGGAAAACUUGAGUGCAGAAGAGGAAAGUGGAAUUCCAUGUGUAGCGGUGAAAUGCGCAGAGAUAUGGAGGAACACCAGUGGCGAAGGCGACUUUCUGGUCUGUAACUGACGCUGAUGUGCGAAAGCGUGGGGAUCAAACAGGAUUAGAUACCCUGGUAGUCCACGCCGUAAACGAUGAGUGCUAAGUGUUAGGGGGUUUCCGCCCCUUAGUGCUGCAGCUAACGCAUUAAGCACUCCGCCUGGGGAGUACGACCGCAAGGUUGAAACUCAAAGGAAUUGACGGGGACCCGCACAAGCGGUGGAGCAUGUGGUUUAAUUCGAAGCAACGCGAAGAACCUUACCAAAUCUUGACAUCCUUUGACAACUCCAGAGAUAGAGCCUUCCCCUUCGGGGGACAAAGUGACAGGUGGUGCAUGGUUGUCGUCAGCUCGUGUCGUGAGAUGUUGGGUUAAGUCCCGCAACGAGCGCAACCCUUAAGCUUAGUUGCCAUCAUUAAGUUGGGCACUCUAAGUUGACUGCCGGUGACAAACCGGAGGAAGGUGGGGAUGACGUCAAAUCAUCAUGCCCCUUAUGAUUUGGGCUACACACGUGCUACAAUGGACAAUACAAAGGGCAGCGAAACCGCGAGGUCAAGCAAAUCCCAUAAAGUUGUUCUCAGUUCGGAUUGUAGUCUGCAACUCGACUACAUGAAGCUGGAAUCGCUAGUAAUCGUAGAUCAGCAUGCUACGGUGAAUACGUUCCCGGGUCU